rnacentral:rRNA from 1 species
UAGGGAAUCUUCCACAAUGGACGCAAGUCUGAUGGAGCAACGCCGCGUGAGUGAAGAAGGUUUUCGGACCGUAAAGCUCUGUUGUUGGUGAAGAAGGAUAGAGGUAGUAACUGGCCUUUAUUUGACGGUAAUCAACCAGAAAGUCACGGCUAACUACGUGCCAGCAGCCGCGGUAAUACGUAGGUGGCAAGCGUUGUCCGGAUUUAUUGGGCGUAAAGCGAGCGCAGGCGGAAGAAUAAGUCUGAUGUGAAAGCCCUCGGCUUAACCGAGGAAUUGCAUCGGAAACUGUUUUUCUUGAGUGCAGAAGAGGAGAGUAGAACUCCAUGUGUAGCGGUGGAAUGCGUAGAUAUAUGGAAGAAUACCAGUGGCGAAGGCGGCUCUCUGGUCUGCAACUGACGCUGAGGCUCGAAAGCAUGGGUAGCGAACAGGAUUAGAUACCCUGGUAGUCCAUGCCGUAAACGGUGAGUGCUAAGUGUUGGGAGGCUUCCGCCUCUCAGUGCUGCAGCUAACGCAUUAAGCACUCCGCCUGGGGGAGUACGACCGCAAGGU